GUGCUCGCUUUGGCAGCACAUACACUAAAAUUGGAACAAUACAGAGAAGAUCAGCAUGGUCUCCGCGCAAGGAUGACAUGCAAAUUUGUGAAGCAUUCCAUAUUUUU
ensembl:snRNA U6 U6 spliceosomal RNA